CUGAGGUAGGGUACUGGCAACAGUGCUCUGCUGAAAUAUUUUCACCCAUGUCUUUUGCGCACUUUUUGUUUCCUGGGCGAGUUUGCUCGCCACCAGGACCCCCAUAUGAACCUUUUUUGUUUUUGCACUCAGCGUCAGUACAAUAAUUUAAUCUAUUAAAACUUUCAACAACGGAUCUCUUGGUUCUGGCAUCGAUGAAGAACGCAGCGAAAUGCGAUACGUAGUGUGAAUUGCAGAAUUCAGUGAAUCAUCGAAUCUUUGAACGCACAUUGCGCCCUUUGGUAUUCCAAAGGGCAUGCCUGUUCGAGCGUCAUUUGUACCCUCAAGCUUUGCUUGGUGUUGGGCGUCUUAUUGUCUCUCCGUCUCGGGGAGACUCGCCUUAAAACAAUUGGCAGCCGGCCUACUGGUUUCGGAGCGCAGCACAAAUUUGCGCUUGCAAUCAGCCAAGGGCGGCAUCCAUGAAGCCUUUUUUCUCUCACAUUUUGACCUCGGAUCAGGUAGGGAUACCCGCUGAACUUAAGCAUAUCAAUAGACCGGGAGGAAAUCGUCUUCUUCGAGGUGU
rnacentral:rRNA from 1 species